rnacentral:rRNA from 1 species
GAUGAACGCUAGCGACAGGCUUAACACAUGCAAGUCGAGGGGCAGCACGAUGUAGCAAUACAUUGGUGGCGACCGGCGCACGGGUGCGUAACACGUAUGCAACCUACCCAUAAGCGGGGAAUAACCCGGAGAAAUCCGGACUAAUACCGCAUAGUACGUUUGAGUGGCAUCACUUAAACUUUAAAGAUUUAUCACUUAUGGAUGGGCAUGCGCAUGAUUAGAUAGUAGGCGGGGUAACGGCCCACCUAGUCAACGAUCAUUAGGGGUUCUGAGAGGAAGGUCCCCCACAUUGGUACUGAGACACGGACCAAACUCCUACGGGAGGCAGCAGUGAGGAAUAUUGGUCAAUGGGCGAGAGCCUGAACCAGCCAAGUCGCGUGAAGGAAGAAGGAUCUAUGGUUCGUAAACUUCUUUUUUAGGGAAGUAAAGUAGCGGUACGUGUACCGUUUUGUUAUGUACCCUACGAAUAAGGAAUCGGCUAACUCCGUGCCAGCAGCCGCGGUAAACGUAAGCGUG